AUGGGUCCUCCCCUUCAAGAAAUUAAUUUAAUAUCGUGUGGGCCUAUGGCCCACGUAUCAGAUAUUAAACUGAUAAGAACAGAUACUACACUUGAUCUUAGCCAAAAGGCCGAGAAAGGUAUGCUUUGUUCAGCAACACGUUUUCGUUUUUAUAUGGCAUGCAAGCUUCCCUGUUUUAUGAUGCUGGCGAUAUGGGACGAAAAAACGCAAGAUAUGAUGCAUUCUCUUUUCCCCACGACCAAUAUUCUCUUUUCCAUCAAUUUCACAAGUUCAUGA
rnacentral:lncRNA from 1 species